GAGAAGAUGGCUGAGUGGUUGAAAGCGUCAAUUUGCUAAAUUGUUAUAUUGAUUGUUAGAUUAAUAUCAUAGGUUCAAAUCCUAUUCUUCUUC
rnacentral:tRNA from 1 species